rnacentral:rRNA from 1 species
AUGGAAAAGUCUUUGCAGAAGAAAGAUAUCACUACGCUUGCAGGAAUCAGGGGUGCCAACUCAUUUGCAAUCUUGAAGGCCGUCGCAAGGGUGCUGGAGGCAGCGGGAUCUUCGAUAUCAAAGAAUUUCAUUCCUUCCACAAAAUCCAGAUGUCUCUACCUAUGUUGUAAGGAUAUUACUAGCGGCCAAACAAACACGGAAAGAGUCGUGGCGUUAGAGAGGGGGCAUAGCAGUGAAAAUUGUGAUGGGAUGGAUCAUAGUAAUUUGUUGGGAAUUAUGGAUGGGAGGCAUAUGGAAACACAUCUUCUCCAAAAAUCAUAUACCCCCUCCAUCCAGCUUAAUUCAUCUACUACUCCUUUUUGGUGUUGUCAUCUGGGGACAAGACGUGGAAAAUGUGUUGAGCUCUCCAAGUUCUCCGCUGGCUGUGUAGUGGAGGGCAGUAGCAAGUUGUUCCUGCCAAGAGAUCAUCUAGAGAGAGAGUUUAUAGUUCACCAUGAUCUCUCUGAUUGGUUCCGCUGGUUGAGGAUGCACAAAUCCGCUACUCAUUCCUUUCCUCUCUCUCCAUCUGGAUGUAAUGAGUCGUCGGUCAUCAUGAGUGAGGUGACAGAAUAUGAGAGGAAAAAGAAUGUCCAAGAUACUGCUAGUGCAGAUGAUAAGAGGGAUAUGUUCAUGCAGAUAAUACAAAUGACUUUUAUGUCUCACGAUGCUGCUUUUGAUUUCUACAACAGCUAUGCUAGAAAUAAUUGUUUCAGCAUUAGAAAGGGCAAGGUCGGGUAUAGCAAAACCGAGUCACAUCAUAUGCGUUAUAGGCGGUUUGUUUGUUCCAGACAAGGAAAACGUGACAGCAGGUUGCUAACCGAGGAAGGACACAACCGUAGGCUCAGACCCCAGACACACUGCCACUGCGAAGCGCACCUGAUCGUGAAGCUUGAACAAACGCGUGGGAUUUGGUAUGUUGAAAGUUUUGAGGACAAGCAUAGCCAGAUCUUGGCAGGACCGGACGAGGUACCUUUUCUUUGGUCCCACAGAAAAAUCAAAGAGUACCAGAAAGCUGAGAUAAUGUCCAUGGGAGCUGCAGGGAUUAGAAUUCACGACAUGAUGGAUUCCUUCAUCAGCAAACAUGUAUGGGAGAAGAGGAAGCUGCUUUCAAAAGGUGAUGCUGCCACAGCCAUAAGCAUCAUGGUCAGUAGGAAACAAAGGGAUCCUAGCUUCUUUUUCAAGUACAAGCUAGAUAAGGAAGGACAUAUGAAUAGGAUGUUCUGGUGUGACUCCCAGUCUUGUCAUGACUAUGAGGACUUCGGCGACGUUCUUGUAUUUGACAGCACGUACAAGAUGAACCGGUAUGGUAUGCCAUUCAUACCAUUUGUUGGUCUUAACAAUCACCGGAAGACCACUGUUUUUGCUUGUGCCAUAGUUUCCAACGAGACCGAAGAGACAUAUGUGUGGCUGUUGCAGACUUUUUUGAGGUCCAUUUGUCAAAAGAUGCCGAAGAGUGUUAUCACGGACGCCGACGAUGCGAUGAUCAAGGCAAUGCGCUAA